GAUGAAGAACGUAGCAAAAUGCGAUAAGUAAUGUGAAUUGCAGAAUUCAGUGAAUCAUCGAAUCUUUGAACGCACAUUGCGCCCGCUGGUAUUCCGGCGGGCAUGCCUGUUCGAGCGUCAUUUCAACCCUCAAGCCCCCGGGUUUGGUGUUGGGGAUCGGCUCUGCCCUUCUGGGCGGUGCCGCCCGAAAUACAUUGGCGGUCUCGCUGCAGCCUCCAUUGCGUAGUAGCUAACACCUCGCAACUGGAACGCGGCGCGGCCAUGCCGUAAAACCCCAACUUCUGAAUGUUGACCUCGGAUCAGGUAGGAAUACCCGCUGAACUUAAGCAUAUCAAUAAGCGGAGGA
rnacentral:misc_RNA from 1 species